GAUAGUUCACCUUGAAUGUGUUAUAAUUUGACUACACCAUAAUUCGAUCUUCUAGCCAUUCGAAACCCUGAGGUGUAUGUUGGCUGUGGCAUAUUCAUUGUAGAAACUAGGUCGCACCAAGAUGGGAUCUAUCAACCUCGGUAGAUGAGAGGAGUAGUCCUAUGAUGAUCGAAAGAUCGAGUCCUUAUGCCCAUGGCCAU
rnacentral:lncRNA from 1 species